rnacentral:rRNA from 1 species
GAGAUUCCCCCAGUAGCGGCGAGCGAACGGGGAGGAGCCCAGAGCCUGAAUCAGCAUGUGUGUUAGUGGAAGCGUCUGGAAAGGCGCGCGAUACAGGGUGACAGCCCCGUACACAAAAGCGCAUGUGCUGUGAGCUCGAUGAGUAGGGCGGGACACGUGGUAUCCUGUCUGAAUAUGGGGGGACCAUCCUCCAAGGCUAAAUACUCCUGACUGACCGAUAGUGAACCAGUACCGUGAGGGAAAGGCGAAAAGAACCCCGGCGAGGGGAGUGAAAAAGAACCUGAAACCGUGUACGUACAAGCAGUGGGAGCACAGGUUUACCUGUGUGACUGCGUACCUUUUGUAUAAUGGGUCAGCGACUUAU